rnacentral:lncRNA from 1 species
AUUUUUGAGCCCUCGUUCUAGUGCUUGGCCUUUUGGGGAGUGUUGAUGCGGCGUUAUGGGGCGCUGGAUCUGUUGUCCGGCGCGAGGCCGUAGCGUGUGGGGGAACCUGCAAGGUGAUUUCCUGGCCAUGGAUCCCGAAAAGGUUUCUCUUCUCUUUAUUCGUAGGAAUCUGCUGUGUGUUUGCUAUGCGUCGUUCCUGCUUGUACUGUUCCUUUGCGGAUUAGUAUUCUUGUUGAUUUCUUCCGUUUAUGUUCGAUUGCUCCCUCUGUCUUCUGGAUUUCUUGCAUAGCUUUAUAUACCUCGAUGACUCUGGUGCUAAUGGGGCAAAUUGAUUUUCAGAUCAGGAGUUGGGCGCUGCGCUGCCACGCUGCUGAACGUUUGGAGAAGGUGGAGGGCUUGUGUUGACCUGCCUGUUAGAUUCUGCACUUCGGUGUUUCUGAUCAAUCGCUCCUGCCCGGUUCCUGUCUUGUGAAUCCGUCUCCCCAAGCAUGGCUGGGCAAGCGGCAAAGGCGAAGGAGUCAGGGAAAGACGACAGACAAGAACCCGGAGCUGAG